rnacentral:rRNA from 1 species
AACGUAGGGCGCGAGCGUUAUCCGGAUUCACUGGGCGUAAAGCGCGUUGAGGCGGCUCCGUAAGUUGGGCGUGAAAGCCCCGGGCUUAACCUGGGGAGGCCGUCCCAUACCUCGGGGCUUGAGGGCAGCAGAGGGAGGUGGAAUUCCCGGUGUCGUGGUGAAAUGCGUAGAUAUCGGGAGGAACAACCGUGGCGAAGGCGGCCUCCUGGGCUGCUCCUGACGCUGAAGGCGAAAGCCAGGGGUGCGAACGGG